UACGUAGGUGGCAAGCGUUGUCCGGAAUCACUGGGCGUAAAGGGCGCGUAGGCGGCCUGAUAAGUAGGGGGUGAAAUCCUGCGGCUUAACCGCAGGGCUGCCUUCUAAACUGUCAGGCUCGAGCACAGUAGAGGCAGGUGGAAUUCCCGGUGUAGCGGUGGAAUGCGUAGAGAUCGGGAAGAACAUCAGUGGCGAAGGCGGCCUGCUGGGCUGUUGCUGACGCUGAGGCGCGACAGCGUGGGGAGCAAACAGG
rnacentral:rRNA from 1 species